rnacentral:rRNA from 1 species
UAUUGCCUACGGGGCGCAGCAGUGAGGAAUAUUGGUCAAUGGGCGGGAGCCUGAACCAGCCAAGUCGCGUGAGGGAAGACGGUCCUAUGGAUUGUAAACCUCUUUAGGCGGGGAGCAAUGCCGGGCACGCGUGCCCGGAGGGAGAGUACCCGCAGAAUAAGCAUCGGCUAACUCCGUGCCAGCAGCCGCGGUAAUACGGAGGAUGCGAGCGUUAUCCGGAUUUAUUGGGUUUAAAGGGUGCGUAGGCGGACAGUCAAGUCAGCGGUAAAAAUGCGGUGCUCAACGCCGUACAGCCGUUGAAACUG